rnacentral:rRNA from 1 species
UACGAGGGGGGCGAGCGUUGUUCGGAAUUAUUGGGCGUAAAGGGUGCGUAGGCGGUUCCGCAAGUCUUGUGUGAAAUCCCUCGGCUUAACUGAGGAACUGCACGGGAUACUGCGAGACUUGAGUUCGGGAGAGGGAAGCGGAAUUCCGGGUGUAGCGGUGAAAUGCGUAGAUAUCCGGAGGAACACCGGUGGCGAAGGCGGCUUCCUGGACCGAUUACUGACGCUGAGGCGCGAAAGCUAGGGGAGCAAACGGG